rnacentral:snoRNA from 1 species
AAGACUAUACUUUCAGGGAUCAUUUCUAUAGUUCGUUACUUGAGAAAUGUGUGUCUAAAGUGGUAGGUCUCGCUCUCCAUGAUGACGAUUCAAGAUAUUCCCAUUCAGAGCAUGAAUCUGGUGGCUGGAAAUGACUUUGCUCAUGUUUCUUCAACCUUUGAUGAUCUUUCCUUGUUCUUCAAUGAACAUGGAUGAAGGGAAUAUGUUCUGAGUGGA